GACGAACGCUGGCGGCGUGCUUAACACAUGCAAGUCGAACGAAGAGCGAUGGAAGCUUGCUUCUAUCAAUCUUAGUGGCGAACGGGUGAGUAACGCGUAAUCAACCUGCCCUUCAGAGGGGGACAACAGUUGGAAACGACUGCUAAUACCGCAUACGAUCUAAUCUCGGCAUCGAGGAAAGAUGAAAGGUGGCCUCUAUUUAUAAGCUAUCACUGAAGGAGGGGAUUGCGUCUGAUUAGCUAGUUGGAGGGGUAACGGCCCACCAAGGCGAUGAUCAGUAGCCGGUCUGAGAGGAUGAACGGCCACAUUGGGACUGAGACACGGCCCAGACUCCUACGGGAGGCAGCAGUGGGGAAUCUUCCGCAAUGGACGAAAGUCUGACGGAGCAACGCCGCGUGAGUGAUGACGGCCUUCGGGUUGUAAAGCUCUGUUAAUCGGGACGAAAGGCCUUCUUGCGAACAGUUAGAAGG
rnacentral:rRNA from 1 species